UGCAACUCGCCCUCAUGAAGCCGGAAUCGCUAGUAAUCGCGGGUCAGCUAUACCGCGGUGAAUACGUUCUCAAGUCUUGUACUCACAAUAAACGCGCAC
rnacentral:rRNA from 1 species